UACGUAGGGUGCAAGCGUUAAUCGGAAUUACUGGGCGUAAAGCGUGCGCAGGCGGUCUUGUAAGACAGAGGUGAAAUCCCCGGGCUUAACCUGGGAACUGCCUUUGUGACUGCAAGGCUUGAGUGCGGCAGAGGGGGAUGGAAUUCCGCGUGUAGCAGUGAAAUGCGUAGAUAUGCGGAGGAACACCGAUGGCGAAGGCAAUCCCCUGGGCCUGCACUGACGCUCAUGCACGAAAGCGUGGGAGCAAACAGG
rnacentral:rRNA from 1 species